CUUUCCAAAGGACACAAUAAACAGACAAAACUAAAAUAAGAACCAGAAAACCGAGAAGUUUCUCCGUCUCAUGUUUGUCUGUCUGUGCUUUUGGGGUCCGAAGAAAGAAGGGAUUCAAAGUGUCCAGCAGACCAGCUGCUGACAUGUGUAACCCAUAGACUCCCCUCUCAAGAGUAGGAGUCCCAGUCUAUGGUACACAAGAGGUCUAUUCUAUUCCCAGAGCACACAGUAAGUCUCUGAGCGGGAUUCAGGCUCCAGCCAAAACACCCUUCACCCUCAAACAGACACACACAGAUCAUUCAUUACAAGCCUUAUGUGUGGGUGUCAGCUUUUGUGGCUUUUGUGCUAGGAUUGUGUGCAUGUAUGACGUGUGUGUGUGUGUCCAUGCAUCCAUGCCUGCGUGUUUGUGUGAGUUUGUGCACACGCGCAUGACUGAUAUUGCUGUGGUGUUCAUGUAUUACAGAGCAAGAAUAUGCCUGUACGGUUCAGUGAAGAAGAGAGGAUGAGAACGGAAGAGUCUGUUGAGAGAUUGCUUCCUUCUAUGGAAUGUGGUGAAUUGUGUAGGUGCUGUUUUUGGCUCUGCAGAGUACAUCCCAGUCUACUAUACAGUAUGGCACGGCCUGUGCCCCCUCACCAGGUCCAGGGUAGUCCUCUCCAGGACGUCCACCAGCUUCUCCAGCUUGGUGUUGGCCGUGAAGAUGAAGUCAUCGUCCACCCACAGCACAUACUUGGUAGUCACCUGGGAAACGGCUAGGUUCCGUCCUGCAAACCAGCCCUAGUUGUUGUGACACAGAACAGGAUGUGGGAAAGAGGAAGCAGAAGCAGCGAAAGGACAACUAAGAAAAUCACAGACAGGACUUUUUUUCAAGACAGUUUCUUUCCAACUUUUUCACUUAAGGUCAUCUGUCACUGUCACUUAAGGUCAAUGUUAGUGUUAGACACAUUUUUGACUUGACAGGUACAUGUACACUGUAUCCCAUCCCUUACUUGCAAAUAGAGGCAGUAGGGUUUAAAAAAAAUACCUUUCCAAAUGGCAUGAUGUAAUGUUCGAUGUAGGGGCCAGAGACUGUCUUUGGGUUUUCACUGUCAUCAGCUAUUACUAUGGUGACAGAGGAAUAGUAUUUUCGCACACUGUCGAUGAGACCUUGGAGCUUGUCAUAGCGCAUGAAGGUUUUGGUUGCUAUGGUAACAAGGGCACUGAUGUUGUAUUCUAGAAGGGGAACAGAGAGAGACAAAAAGUUAAAGUUAAAGGUCAGAUGCAAUUUUUUUUUUUUUUGGAAGUGUUGUGCGGUUGUGACAGAUACAGUCAGCUGUUGUAUUUGUUGACAUACCCCCUUUGGGUCCCGUGUUGUAGAGUUUUGGAGUUACACCAUGACGGACCUUGAUAGUAAACAUGGCUUGGUGACCCUCUGUCUCAAACUGCACUGAAAGACACAGCAAGAGUAUUUCCAACCUCAUUACCAUAAAUAUUUUACAGAUGUUAUAUGAUAAUUAUUUGAUAAUGGACACAACACAGAAAUAAGUAGUACACAGCAGAAAGACAGGUGUGUCUAGCCUCACCUGUGUCUGCUGUACUAGGGUGGAACAGUGUGUUGGUAUAGGUGACAAACUGUAGCUGCCGGUUCAAAUUGGACAGCAGGCUGCUGGUCAGGGUCAUGUGCAUCUCCCCGUCACCUUUGACCUUUACCCCCUCAACCUCCGCUGCCACGUUUAACGUUCCCAGGGUAGAGGUGAAGUUGACCUGAGAAAGAAAAAAAAUUAAGAGAGAGACAGAACAAAGAAGACAAGGACCAGACAGAUGGAAUAGUAUUGGAAAUAAUAACUCAAACCAAAUGUUAUUGGUCUACUUACUGUGUACAGCUCUUUGGGAUGGUCUUGUACUGCAAGUCCUGAAAACAUAUGACGUCAAUUUACUGGCAUAUUUGAUGAAGGUGUUGGAUGUUUAUCCAAUCCAAAUUCACCACAUCAAUUGUCAGCUGAAGUAAACACUAUUUCUCUGUUGAGCAACAAAACACUAUUCUCUGCUCUAAAACAGCCAUACAGUGCAGUAGGUUAUCAUGGUAGUAAUGGUAUAAAUAGCAGCUGUCAGUGGUUGCAAUAAUAGUACUAACACCGUAGUAAUAAUAGUAUUAGAUUGUUAGAACACCUAUUGUCUGUCACGUUAAAAGACAAUGAGUUUUACCUCCAAAUACCCUGAUGAAGAUUGAUUGAGACCAAAACAUUGGUGAAUAAGAUCAGCAUCAAGAUUACCGGUGUGCUGGGGUUUUUCAAAUGUUUAACAUUGUUGUAAUAGGACAGUCUACCUGGACUGGUAACUUGAUAAAAUUACACUUGUCUUUGUAUGCUUGCCCUAUUUUGCAAGGUUUCCUGAUGAAGGUCGGCUGACUGAAAGCUCAGACACAAUUAAAGACAUUUGCAUCUUA